UACGUAGGGGGCAAGCGUUGUCCGGAUUUAUUGGGCGUAAAGAGCGUGUAGGCGGCCUGAAAGGUCAGCUGUGAAAACUCGAGGCUCAACCUCGAGACGUCGGUUGAAACCAUCUGGCUAGAGUCCGGAAGAGGAGUGUGGAAUUCCCGGUGUAGCGGUGAAAUGCGCAGAUAUCGGGAAGAACACCCGUGGCGAAGGCGGCUUCUUGGGCCAUUUCUGACGCUGAGGCGCGAAAGCUAGGGGAGCGAACGGG
rnacentral:rRNA from 1 species